rnacentral:rRNA from 1 species
AUGGAAAACCGCGAUGGUUCCUCAUUGCCAGACUUUCUUGAGCUCCAGCGCACCCGUGUUCUCUGCAAGGCCGAUGCCCCCACUCAUACAGAGGGGUUUCAAUACUCGGGGGCUUUUGCUGCUAUGGGAGUUGAUACUAGUGUCUCAGUUGAGAAGUUCUGCAAGAACUUUAAAAUCGAGAUAAAUCGACUUACAGAUGAGGAUAUGGAGUUUGAUAUGAUUGGCGUUGAUGCAUCGAUAGCUAAUGCUUUCCGGAGAAUCCUCAUUGCAGAGGUUCCUACAAUGGCCAUUGAGAAAGUCUUCAUGGUUGACAAUACAUCAGUUAUAGCAGAUGAGGUCCUUUCACACCGACUAGGCCUUAUUCCACUUGAUGCUGAUCCAAGGCUUUUUGAUUAUAUCUCUGAUGAUGUCCCAAAUGAAAGGAAUACUAUUGUGUACAAACUGCAUGUUUCAUGUGAAAAGGGUUCCCAAAGGCUUACAGUUAAGUCUGGUCAAUUGGAGUGGUUGCCAGAAGGCAGUCAAUUAACUAUGGCAUCUCCUGCGCAAUCUGGGGACAAUCAGAGGACCUACACAUCCUUUGGUCAAAGCCAACAGAAUACCUCUGAAAGGCCUCUCGGUGUGAAGUAUAAUGACAUAACAAUUGCCAGGCUUGGGCCAGGACAGGCUAUUGAGCUUGAGGCACAUGCUGUUAAGGGAGUGGGGAAAGUUCAUGCGAAGUGGUCUCCAGUUGCUACAGCCUGGUACAGGAUGCUCCCCGAGGUUGUUCUUCUCAAAGAAAUUAAAAAUGGUGAUGCAGAGGAGCUAGUGAAAAGAUGCCCAGUUAAUGUUUUUGACAUUGAAGACCUGGGAAAGGGGGAGAAGAGAGCAGUUGUUGCAAAGCCAAGAGCAUGCACCCUUUGUAGGGAAUGUGUCAGACUGGCUGAUGAUCAAGUAGAGCUACGGCGUGUUAGAGACCACUUCAUUUUUACAAUCGAGUCCACCGGAGCUCUACCGCCGGAGGUGCUCUUCACAGAGGCCGUGAAGAUCCUUGAGGAGAAGUGCGAGCGAGUGAUAUCCGAACUUUCCUGA